rnacentral:rRNA from 1 species
CGAGUCUGCCUUGAAGAUCGGAGUGCUUGCACUCUGUGAAACAAGAUACAGGCUAGCGGCGGACGGGUGAGUAACACGUGGGUAACCUGCCCAAGAGAUCGGGAUAACACCUGGAAACAGAUGCUAAUACCGGAUAACAACAGGUGAUGCUUAUCAACUGUUUAAAAGAUGGUUCUGCUAUCACUCUUGGAUGGACCUGCGGUGCAUUAGCUAGUUGGUAGGGUAACGGCCUACCAAGGCGAUGAUGCAUAGCCGAGUUGAGAGACUGAUCGGCCACAUUGGGACUGAGACACGGCCCAAACUCCUACGGGAGGCAGCAGUAGGGAAUCUUCCACAAUGGACGCAAGUCUGAUGGAGCAACGCCGCGUGAGUGAAGAAAGGUUUCGGCUCGUAAAGCUCUGUUGUUGGUGAA